rnacentral:rRNA from 1 species
UACGAAGGGGGCUAGCGUUGUUCGGAUUUACUGGGCGUAAAGCGCACGUAGGCGGAUCGUUAAGUCGGGGGUGAAAUCCUGGAGCUCAACUCCAGAACUGCCUUCGAUACUGGCGAUCUUGAGUCCGGAAGAGGUGAGUGGAACUCCUAGUGUAGAGGUGGAAUUCGUAGAUAUUAGGAAGAACACCAGUGGCGAAGGCGGCUCACUGGUCCGGUACUGACGCUAAAGCACGAAAGUGUGGGUAGCAAACAGG